CGCACAUUGCGCCCGCUGGUUUUUCCAGCGGGCAUGCCUGUUCGAGCGUCAUUUCAAACCUCAAGCCCUGGCUGCUUGGUGUUGGGGCUUCAUUGCUGCGAAACCGCAGGCCCCGAAUGCAAUCGGCGGGCCCGUCCGCGACCCCGAGCGUAGUAACAUUUUCGUCUCGCCCAGGGCUGUCCGGCGGGCAUAUCCGGCCGCUAAAAACAGCAACCUCCGGGUUCUAUUUUUCACAGUUUGACCUCGGAUCAGGUAGGAAUACCCGCUGAACUUAA
rnacentral:misc_RNA from 1 species